ACAGUUGGAAACGACUGCUAAUCCCGGAUGAGCCCUUGUGGUAAAAGAUUUAUCGUCUAGAGAAGAGCUCGCGUCCGAUUAGUUAGUUGGUGGGGUAAUGGCUUACCAAGACAGCGAUCGGUAACUGGUCUGAGAGGAUGACCAGUCACACUGGGACUGAGACACGGCCCAGACUCCUACGGGAGGCAGCAGUGGGGAAUUUUCCGCAAUGGGCGAAAGCCUGACGGAGCAAUACCGCGUGCGGGAGGAAGGCCCUUGGGUCGUAAACCGCUUUUCUCAGGGAAGAAGAACUGACGGUACCUGAGGAAAAAGCCUCGGCUAACUCCGUGCCAGCAGCCGCGGUAAUACGGAGGAGGCAAGCGUUAUCCGGAAUUAUUGGGCGUAAAGCGUCCGCAGGUGGUCUUGUAAGUCUGCUGUUAAAUACGGAAGCUCAACUUCCGAUCGGCGGUGGAAACUGCAAAACUAGAGUACAGUAGGGGUAGAGGGAAUUCCCAGUGUAGCGGUGAAAUGCGUAGAGAUUGGGAAGAACACCGGUGGCGAAAGCGCUCUGCUGGGC
rnacentral:rRNA from 1 species